UGCAAGUCGAACGGCAGCACGGACUUCGGUCUGGUGCUUGGCGAACGGGUGAGUAAUGUAUCGGAACGUGCCUAGUAGCGGGGGAUAACUACGCGAAAGCGUAGCUAAUACCGCAUACGCCCUACGGGGGAAAGCAGGGGAUCGCAAGACCUUGCACUAUUAGAGCGGCCGAUAUCGGAUUAGCUAGUUGGUGGGGUAACGGCUCACCAAGGCGACGAUCCGUAGCUGGUUUGAGAGGACGACCAGCCACACUGGGACUGAGACACGGCCCAAACUCCUACGGGAGGCAGCAGUGGGGAAUUUUGGACAAUGGGGGAAACCCUGAUCCAGCCAUCCCGCGUGUGCGAUGAAGGCCUUCGGGUUGUAAAGCACUUUUGGCAGGAAAGAAACGUUCCGGGUUAAUACCCCGGGAAACUGACGGUACCUGCAAAAUAAGCACCGGCUAACUACGUGCCAGCAGCCGCGGUAAUACGUAGGGUGCAAGCGUUAAUCGGAAUUACUGGGCGUAAAGCGUGCGCAGGCGGUUCGGAAAGAAAGAUGUGAAAUCCCAGAGCUUAACUUUGGAACUGCAUUUUUAACUACCGAGCUAGAGUGUGUCAGAGGGAGGUGGAAUUCCGCGUGUAGCAGUGAAAUGCGUAAUAUGCGGAGGAACACCGAUGGCGAAGGCAGCCUCCUGGGAUAACACUGACGCUCAUGCACGAAAGCGU
rnacentral:rRNA from 1 species